rnacentral:rRNA from 1 species
GCAGUAGCCACGGUAAUACGAAGGGUGCAAGCGUUACUCGGAAUUACUGGGCGUAAAGCGUGCGUAGGUGGUGGUUUAAGUCCGUUGUGAAAGCCCUGGGCUCAACCUGGGAAUUGCAGUGGAUACUGGGUCACUAGAGUGUGGUAGAGGAUAGUGGAAUUUCCGGUGUAGCAGUGAAAUGUGUAGAGAUCGGAAGGAACAUCUGUGGCGAAGGCGACUAUCUGGGCCAACACUGACACUGAGGCACGAAAGCGUGGGGAGCAAACAGGAUUAGAUACCCGAGUAGUCCCUGUCUCUUAUAC